GAUGAACGCUGGCGGCGUGCCUAAUACAUGCAAGUCGAGCGAACGGACGAGAAGCUUGCUUCUCUGAUGUUAGCGGCGGACGGGUGAGUAACACGUGGAUAACCUACCUAUAAGACUGGGAUAACUUCGGGAAACCGGAGCUAAUACCGGAUAAUAUUUUGAACCGCAUGGUUCAAAAGUGAAAGACGGUCUUGCUGUCACUUAUAGAUGGAUCCGCGCUGCAUUAGCUAGUUGGUAAGGUAACGGCUUACCAAGGCAACGAUGCAUAGCCGACCUGAGAGGGUGAUCGGCCACACUGGAACUGAGACACGGUCCAGACACCUACGGGGGGAAGCAGUAGGGAAUCUUCCGCAAUGGGCGAAAGCCUGACGGAGCAACGCCGCGUGAGUGAUGAAGGUCUUCGGAUCGUAAAACUCUGUUAUUAGGGAAGAACAUAUGUGUAAGUAACUGUGCACAUCUUGACGGUACCUAAUCAGAAAGCCACGGCUAACUACGUG
rnacentral:rRNA from 1 species